ACUUACGGGAGCACUGAAACACGAGGGAAGAGGAAGGCCUUUUCUGAUAUAUGGAUGUUGACUGAACAUGGCAAAGCAGCCUUGGACUCCACUGGAAAGCCUUUGAAGGAAAUACUUUUCCAGCCAGCAGCACCACACACUUACCUGCUGUGUUGGAGCCAGACCGCCGCCUCACAUCACAAAG